GUGCUCGCUUCCGCAGCACAUAUACUAAAAUUGGAAUGAUACAGAGAAGAUUAGCAAGCCCCUGUGCAAGGAUGGCAUGCAAAUUCAUGAAGCAUUCCAUAUUUUU
rnacentral:snRNA from 1 species